rnacentral:rRNA from 1 species
UUCAAGACGUCGCAGAAGGAGGGGGCCGCGGCCGAUCAGAUAGUUGGUGAGGUAACGGCUCACCAAGCCUUUAACCGGUACGGGCCGUGAGAGCGGAAGCCCGGAGAUGGGCACUGAGACAAGGGCCCAGGCCCUACGGGGCGCAGCAGUCGCGAAAACUCCGCAAUACACGAAAGUGUGACGGGGCCAUCCCGAGUGCCAUCCGCUGAGGAUGGCUUUUCCCUAGUAUAUAAAGCUGGGGGAAUAAGGAGAGGGCAAGCCUGGUGUCAGCCGCCGCGGUAA